rnacentral:tRNA from 1 species
GGGGGCGUGGCGGAAUGGUAGACGCUACGGACUUAAGGAAAAUUGAGCCUUGUGAGGGAAACCUUAUAAGUGUAAGUUCUCAAAUUCAGGGAAACCUAAGUCAUCUUUUUUUGAUAGGGCAAUCCUGAGCCAAGCCGAGAAAUCGGAAGGUGCAGAGACUCGACGGGAACUACCCUAACGGUUCAAGCCGAGGGUAAAGAGAGAGUCCAAUUCUUAAAGCUAGACUUAGCAGUAACGAAAGUUGCAGAAGAAUGAAAAUCCGUUGACCUUAAACGGUCGUGAGAGUUCAAGUCUCUCCGCCCCCA